GGGGAACUAAAUUGGUACGUCUGCUGCUGCACCAAAGCCGCAAAUCCCCAAUGCGAUGUGCAUCUAUAACAUCCAGAAUCCAAUUCUUGAUUGCUUUUCUACCAUAGGGCACUAGGGCUACUGGAUAGGGCUAGAGAAUUUAAUUGUACUUGGUAUUAUAGGAUUAUCUAGAAUUAUCAUGCACUGAGCGGAGAUUGGAGAAAAGACCGCGAUACUCUUGAGCACCUACCGAUUGGACGCACAUGCACAAUGUCAAGUAAGUCUAAUUAUAUACCUAGCAGUUCAAGUACAGUAAUAUGUUUUAUAGUUCUUUUUUUUUCUUUGUGCAAAUUUUAUUUAUCUUAAUAACGGCUGGGUAAAAAAUCUUAAAUUGUAGUAGAAGCUCAGUUUAUGGACUUAAAAUGGAAAAAUAUCAGCCAGAAAUUUUAGUUCCCCACUGAUCCGGCUUCCGGCGACUUGGCAAGAUUAUAAAUGAAGUGAUAAUUGAUCGCUUUGGGCCCAUGAAAGAACUUACAAAAAUAUUUUGAAAAGGCAAUCAAAGCUCUAAUGUUGCAUUUUGUCAGCAUCCUUUGUACUUAUUUUCAUAAUUUGAUGCUCUGCUAUUGCUCCAUAUUCUAUGAUCAACUAAUAUUUCAAGUGAACCUCUUAUAUUUGGAUUUCUGGUAAGCAUAUGCACUCUUAUAUCA